AGAAAAAAAAAGAAAGGCAGCUAGGAAUAGUAAAAAGAAUAUUGGUUUUAGAACUCAUACUGCCACAUCUUGAUUCCUGCACAAUCUCUUAUUAGUUGUGAUUUUUAACAUCUUUGUGGUUGUUUUCACAUUUUUAAAGUGAAGAGAUAGCACGUUCAUUGUAGAGAUUUGGGGAUUAGCAAUAACACAGUCAGGUCUCUAGCACAUACUAUGUAUUCAAUGAUUGGUGGCUAAUAUUUUUCCUUCACAAAAUUUGGGCCUACUCCACUGGACUCCUCAGGGAAGAAGGAGAAAGGGCCAACCCCUGAAGAAGCAAUACAGAAACUGAAGGAGACAGAGAAGAUACUGAUCAAGAAACAGGAAUUUUUGGAGCAGAAGAUUCAACAGGAGCUACAAACAGCCAAGAAGUAUGGGACCAAGAAUAAGAGAGCUGCCCUACAGGCUUUGCGGAGGAAGAAAAGAUUCGAACAGCAGCUGGCACAAACUGACGGGACAUUAUCCACCCUGGAGUUUCAGCGUGAGGCCAUUGAGAAUGCCACUACCAAUGCAGAAGUCCUUCGUACCAUGGAGCUUGCUGCCCAAAGCAUGAAGAAGGCCUACCAGGACAUGUGGGGACAUUGACAAGGUAGAUGAACUGAUGACUGACAUCACGGAACAACAGGAGGUGGCCCAGCAGAUCUCAGAUGCCAUUUCUCGGCCUAUGGGCUUUGGAGAUG
rnacentral:lncRNA from 1 species